AGUGAACGCUGGCGGUAGGCCUAACACAUGCAAAUCGAACGGCAGCACAGUAAGAGCUUGCUCUUACGGGUGGCGAGUGGCGGACGGGUGAGGAAUACAUCGGAAUCUACUUUUUCGUGGGGGAUAACGUAGGGAAACUUACCCUAAUACCGCAUACGACCUACGGGUGAAAGCAGGGGAUCUUCGGACCUUGCGCGAUUGAAUGAGCCGAUGUCGGAUUAGCUAGUUGGCGGGGUAAAGGCCCACCAAGGCGACGAUCCGUAGCUGGUCUGAGAGGAUGAUCAGCCACACUGGAACUGAGACACGGUCCAGACUCCUACGGGAGGCAGCAGUGGGGAAUAUUGGACAAUGGGCGCAAGCCUGAUCCAGCCAUACCGCGUGGGUGAAGAAGGCCUUCGGGUUGUAAAGCCCUUUUGUUGGGAAAGAAAAGCAGCAGGUUAAUACCCCGCUGUUCUGACGGUACCCAAAGAAUAAGCACCGGCUAACUUCGUG
rnacentral:rRNA from 1 species